rnacentral:lncRNA from 1 species
AUGGCAGAAAGAGCUGGUUGCUGCAAGCCUUGGUGUGCCCAUGCUUGCUUUCCUGCAGAGAGAAGAGCAACAUGGAGGCUGAGGACACAACUGCACAGAUUUCAGCCAAGGUUCCAGGUAGUUCCUAGCGCCCAGGAUGAACCCUGUUGUACCACAUAUUCACUUUUGUCUCCAAAAAUGUCCAAGUGAUUCUUAGUGGUACUGUUUGUUAUCGCGUCAUAAAAGAGAAGAUCAUAUUAACACCUGUGAAUCUCUAUGCCCAAGUGCUUCAUUGAAAAGAACUCAGAGCAAAUGUCCCUCCUCUGCUUCUGCCUUCUUAAUGGACUGCCUGUUAUUGCUGCAACCAUUGCACUUAGCAGAAUGCAUGCUUCUGCCUCAAUAUG